GCCAACCAGAGUAGCUGUGGAUGGGAUUCCUGUUCGUUCUUCCACGACGAGAGAGGUUCCGCCGCCGCCGCUAUGUCCAUCCCCAACUCCGGCGCCACGACGGUGGACCACGGCUCCUCGGCCUCCAUCCUCACCAUCGCCGCGGAGGAUCUCGGCCUCUCCAUCCUCAUUCCCAUCCCGACUCCGCCGUCUGCGCCACAUUCGGCGUCCGGGUCGUCCUCGACAUGGACGUGGACUUGGCCGACUGCUGCUGCACCCUGUCGUUGACCGGAGGGGAGGGGGGAGGAGGCGGCGGGGUCUAGGAGCACCUCGACAAUGAGGAAGGCGCGAGCCACUGCCGGUGCCCUUCUCCUCUUCCUGCUACGGAGAGCGACCCGUGGCGACCGAGCCGACGGACCGGAGCGAGCGUUCCGAGGUAAGGGAAGGCCAUAGCUCGACGGGUGCUCCUAUUGUCCUCUGGGGAGGAGCAAGGCUGCUCGACGGUGUCUCCCGGCGACGGCCACCGCGGCCGGCCAUGUUCAACGCCCUAGUACGCCGGCGAGGUGCUUCCGGCCGGCGGCGACGCGAGCCACGGAGAUGGCGUCCGGCGCAGCGCCUGGGCUACCUCCUGCACGUCUCCCGCCACGGCAAACACUAUGCCGACCUGAAUAAGAAGACUAGGUCAUCAAAUACUAUAGACGAGUAUCCAGUAGUAGACGAACUACCAAAUAAUUCAAAGUCCACAACAUCUUUCUUUUGGAUUGGAGCGUGGUGCGUAAACCAUCAGCCAAGGACAGGCUUACCAAUGGCAAGGCCGAUUGCCUCCAAGACCAGGAGUAUGUCCUUACUUAUGAAGACAAGGACGACGACUGGAUGCUUGUUGGUCACCUUCGGUGGGAAGCAUGCUGAAGCAAGGUGAUUACAGAGGAGGCGCAGGAGCCGCAGGCCGUGAACCUUGUGCUGGCUGGUCUCGACGGCGUGCUCGACGAGAUGUUACCGGUGACUGACCUCUAUCUUGUGCAUGUCACCGCGUGGCUGCGUGACCCCUCCUCUGUGCCAAAGGAGCUGGCAGUUAUGGUGCCGGCGCCUAUUCUGGUGCCUACGCUGCCUGGCUCUGACGAGGACGUCGAAUCACCGCCGGCUCCAAGCUCCCCUACGUACAAGCGCACGCACGAGUACAACCUCAUUCUACAUGUGAAGGAGGUCAUCGACCGCGACCCUUUGAUGAUGGAUGGCACUGAUGACGAUGACGAAGACCUGAGCUGCAAGCAUAAGUUUAAGACUUGGCGUGGCAAGAUCGACGGCACAGGUCCCGGUCUUUAUGGCGAGGCAUGAUCGGAAUUUGCUAUGAUCCUUUUCUCCCGUGUUUACUUUAGUUUACAAUGUUCCGAACUAGAGUUUCGUACUACAAAGUGUUUACUUUAAUUAGUUUAUAAUGUUCUGAACUAGAGUUUCGUACUACAAAGUCUUUACUUUAGUUUAUAAUGUUUCGAACAGAGUUUGUCAUUUUGUCUGAUCGAGAAAUCUGGCGUGUUAUAAUCUUUAUCUUGUAUGAUUCAAAAUACUCUUUAUGCUACUUUUCAAAUAGUUCAAUUGCA